CACAGUACCGCAUGGUACAGGGUGGAGAGAUCAUCGGUGUGAGAUGGACAUGCGUUGGAUUAGCUAGCUGGUGGGGUAACGGCUCACCAGGGCAACGAUCCGUAGCUGGUGUGAGAGGAUGAUCAGCCACACUGGGACUGAGACACGGCCCAGACUCCUACGGGAGGCAGCAGUGGGGAAUCUUCCGCAAUGGGCGAAAGCCUGACGGAGCAACGCCGCGUGAACGAAGAAGGCCUUCGGGUCGUAAAGUUCUGUCCUCAGGGAAGAACCCUCAUGGUAGGGAAUGACCAUGAGCUGACGGUACCUGGGAAGGAAGCCCUGGCUAACUACGUGCCAGCAGCCGCGGUAAUACGUAGAGGGCAAGCGUUUUCCGGAAUCACUGGGCGUAAGGGGUACGUAGGCGGCUAUAUAAUUCAAAUGUGAAAGGCACCGGCUUAACCGGUGAGCUCCAUUUGAAACGGUAUAUCUUGAGUUCAGGAGAGGAGAGCGGAAUUCCUGGUGUAGCGGUGGAAUGCGUAGAUAUCAGGAAGACCACCAGUGGCGAGGGCGGCUCUCUGGCCUGAAACUGACGCUCAGCUACGAAAGCUGGGGUAGCAACCGGGAUUAGAUACCCCGGUAGUCCCACCCGUAAACGAUGGACAUUAGGUGUGGGGGGUUCGAAUCCUUCAGUGCCGAAGUUAACGCAUUAAGUGCCCCGCCUGGGGAGUACGUGCGCAAGACUGAAACUCAAAUGAAUUGACGG
rnacentral:rRNA from 1 species